AACGAACGCUGGCGGCAGGCUUAACACAUGCAAGUCGAACGCACUCUUCGGAGUGAGUGGCAGACGGGUGAGUAACACGUGGGAACGUGCCCUUUGGUUCGGAACAACUCAGGGAAACUUGAGCUAAUACCGGAUAAGCCCUUCGGGGGAAAGAUUUAUCGCCAAAGGAUCGGCCCGCGUCUGAUUAGCUAGUUGGUGAGGUAAUGGCUCACCAAGGCGACGAUCAGUAGCUGGUCUGAGAGGAUGAUCAGCCACACUGGGACUGAGACACGGCCCAGACUCCUACGGGAGGCAGCAGUGGGGAAUAUUGGACAAUGGGCGAAAGCCUGAUCCAGCCAUGCCGCGUGAGUGAUGAAGGCCUUAGGGUUGUAAAGCUCUUUUACCCGGGAAGAUAAUGACGGUACCGGGAGAAUAAGCCCCGGCUAACUUCGUGCCAGCCGCCGCCGUAACAC
rnacentral:rRNA from 1 species